rnacentral:rRNA from 1 species
AUUGAACGCUGGCGGCAUGCCUUACACAUGCAAGUCGAGCGGGGGAAGGUAGCUUGCUACCGGACCUAGCGGCGGACGGGUGAGUAAUGCUUAGGAAUCUGCCUAUUAGUGGGGGACAACAUCUCGAAAGGGAUGCUAAUACCGCAUACGUCCUACGGGAGAAAGCAGGGGAUCUUCGGACCUUGCGCUAAUAGACGAGCCUAAGUCGGAUUAGCUAGUUGGUGGGGUAGAGGCCUACCAAGGCGACGAUCUGUAGCGGGUCUGAGAGGAUGAUCCGCCACACUGGGACUGAGACACGGCCCAGACUCCUACGGGAGGCAGCAGUGGGGAAUAUUGGACAAUGGGGGGAACCCUGAUCCAGCCAUGCCGCGUGUGUGAAGAAGGCCUUAUGGUUGUAAAGCACUUUAAGCGAGGAGGAGGCUACUCUAGUUAAUACCUAGGGAUAGUGGACGUUACUCGCAGAAUAAGCACCGGCUAACUCUGUGCCAGCAGCCGCGGUAA